rnacentral:pre_miRNA from 1 species
AGUGGAAUAACUGGGUCAAAUGGUGGUUCCACACUAAGUUUUCUGAGGAAUCUCCAUACUACUUUCUAAAAUGUUUGCGCCAAUUUUCAGUCCCACCAGCAAU